GCUAACUACGUGCCAGCAGCCGCGGUAAUACGUAGGUGGCAAGCGUUGUCCGGAAUUAUUGGGCGUAAAGGGCUCGCAGGCGGUUUCUUAAGUCUGAUGUGAAAGCCCCCGGCUCAACCGGGGAGGGUCAUUGGAAACUGGGGAACUUGAGUGCAGAAGAGGAGAGUGGAAUUCCACGUGUAGCGGUGAAAUGCGUAGAGAUGUGGAGGAACACCAGUGGCGAAGGCGACUCUCUGGUCUGUAACUGACGCUGAGGAGCGAAAGCGUGGGGAGCGAACAGGAUUAGAUACCCUGGUAGUCCACGCCGUAAACGAUGAGUGCUAAGUGUUAGGGGGUUUCCGCCCCUUAGUGCUGCAGCUAACGCAUUAAGCACUCCGCCUGGGGAGUACGGUCGCAAGACUGAAACUCAAAGGAAUUGACGGGGGCCCGCACAAGCGGUGGAGCAUGUGGUUUAAUUYGAAGCAACGCGAAGAACCUUACCAGGUCUUGACAUCCUCUGACAAUCCUAGAGAUAGGACGUCCCCUUCGGGGGCAGAGUGACAGGUGGUGCAUGGUUGUCGUCAGCUCGUGUCGUGAGAUGUUGGGUUAAGUCCCGCAACGAGCGCAACCCUUGAUCUUAGUUGCCAGCAUUCAGUUGGGCACUCUAAGGUGACUGCCGGUGACAAACCGGAGGAAGGUGGGGAUGACGUCAAAUCAUCAUGCCCCUUAUGACCUGGGCUACACACGUGCUACAAUGGACAGAACAAAGGGCAGCGAAACCGCGAGGUUAAGCCAAUCCCMCAAAUCUGUUCUCAGUUCGGAUCGCAGUCUGCAACUCGACUGCGUGAAGCUGGAAUCGCUAGUAAUCGCGGAUCASCAUGCCGCGGUGAAUACGUUCCCGGGCCUUGUACACACCSCCCGUCACACCMCGAGAGUUUGUAACACCCGAAGUCGGUGAGGUAUC
rnacentral:rRNA from 1 species